rnacentral:rRNA from 1 species
UACGAAGGGGGCUAGCAUUGCUCGGAAUCGCUGGGCGUAAAGGGUGCGUAGGCGGGUCUUUAAGUCAGGGGUGAAAUCCUGGAGCUCAACUCCAGAACUGCCUUUGAUACUGAGGAUCUUGAGUUCGGGAGAGGUGAGUGGAACUGCGAGUGUAGAGGUGAAAUUCGUAGAUAUUCGCAAGAACACCAGUGGCGAAGGCGGCUGCCUGGCCUGUUCUUGACGCUGAGGCGCGAAAGCUGGGGGAGCAAACGGG